UACGAAGGACCCGAGCGUUAUCCGGAUUUAUUGGGUUUAAAGGGUGCGUAGGCGGAUUAGUAAGUCAGUGGUGAAAGCCCAUCGCUUAACGGUGGAACUGCCAUUGAUACUGCUAGUCUUGAGUAUGGUUGAGGUGGGCGGAAUGUGUCAUGUAGCGGUGAAAUGCUUAGAUAUGACCCAGAACACCAAUUGUGAAGGCAGCUCGCUAAGCCAUAACUGACGCUGAUGCACGAAAGCGUGGGGAGCAAACAGG
rnacentral:rRNA from 1 species